GACGAACGCUGGCGGCGUGCUUAACACAUGCGAGUCGAACGGUAAGGCCCUUCGGGGUACACGAGUGGCGAACGGGUGAGUAACACGUGGGUGAUCUGCCCUGCACUUCGGGAUAAGCCUGGGAGACUGGGUCUAAUACCGGAUAGGACCACUGCCUGCAUGGGCGGUGGUGGAAAGCUUUUGCGGUGUGGGAUGGGCCCGCGGCCUAGCAGCUUGUUUGUGGGGUGAUGGCCUACCAAGGCGACGACGGGUAGCCGGCCUGAGAGGGUGACCGGCCACACUGGGACUGAGAUACGGCCCAGACUCCUACGGGAGGCAGCAGUGGGGGAUAUUGCACAAUGGGCGCAAGCCUGAUGCAGCGACGCCGCGUGAGGGAUGACGGCCUUCGGGUUGUAAACCUCUUUCAGCACCGACGAAGCGCAAGUGACGGUAGGUGCAGAAGAAGGACCGGCCAACUACGUGCCAGCCGCCGCGGUAA
rnacentral:rRNA from 1 species